UGGUGACCUUUUCCACUAUGACAUAAAUAGGAGGACACAUGCUAGUAUUAGCAAUGAUAUAAGUUAGGGGUUCAGUGUAUUUUAUAUUUAACAUGGAGUACUGCGAAAUCAUUUAUCUAGCUAUUACUAUCUGCAUUACAAUAAGUGUGGGUGGGUCAUUGCCCCACCAGAUCCAGAAGAUGGGACAGUGGUGACAUUCCACCUUCCUUCCAAAAUGUAUUUUAUAUUUGAUACAGAGUAGGGAUUCAUCUCUGAAAAUAUCCAACACGCUCCAUUUUGCAUUAGUGGCAACAGGAACGGUGCCCCAUCGGAUCCAGGAGAUGAAGGCACUGUGUUGGAAAAUUAUUUAAAAAAAAAAUUGCAUAUACCUGUAUAUAGUUCUGAAAUGUAUUGCAUAUUUACAAUAAAAAGAAGUAAUCAAACUCAAAAUUAGAAUCUAUCAAUGAAAAAACUUAACUCGCAUAAUACUUCUAGAGUAAUUUCUUCCUUCCUUUUCUCUUUUUUCUUUCUUUCAUUUUUCAUACUUUUGUUCAUUCAUUGUCCAUCUUCCUUCAUUCUUCCUUCCCUUUUCCUUUCCUACUUCUCUGUCAUUCAUCUAUCUAUGUCCUUUCUUUCUUUCUUUCUUUCUUUCUUUCUUUCUUUCUUUCUUUCUUUCUUUCUUUCUUUCUUUCUUUCUUUCUUUCUUUCUUUCCGUUCAGCGCUAGCUAUCAGGAACUAAAUGGAAUGCAGUAUGUAAAAUAAAUCUAGUAUUUUAGUCUGGUUAAAUACAGAAAAUGGAGGGCUGUUAAGGUUAAAAAGAAGGUCAAUGCAGCAAUUUUCAGAGAUCUGUUUGUGUGUGUGUGUGUGUGUGUGUGUGCGCGCGUGUGUGUGCAUAUGGCAGCACUUGAUGGUGCUGGCAGACGAGUUGUAUUCUUCCAAGUUGGAUGUUGUCCUCUGAACAACCUCUGUAGUGACUCAGUACUUAUCUGGAAGAGCUUCGGAUUUCACAAGCUACCUCUUGGGGACAGACACGUCUACAAAGAUGGCGGCGUUACAUUGCAUUGGAUUUGAGAUCAGCACAGCUUUUGAGUAGAAGACAAAGAUUUGGAGCUGAAUGUCGGCUUGUCACGUCGAUUAAGACGGUGUACAGAGAAGAUCACAAGACUGUGCAUAGGCGGCGUAGCCACUUCUAAAAGGGACAGACUGGGAACCAAACCUCAAAGGUGUUUUCUCACAGUGUGUUGCUGCAGCCCCGAGAAAACACAUUCAUGGGAAGCAGUGGAAGAACGAAGCGCACUGAGACGACGUUGACCUGGUUCCCACCCAAGGGGCAGAGGGGGGUUCCUUCCAAAACAAAACAAAAAGAGUUAAAAAGUGUGAUGCAUAAAGUCAUCAAGCCUCCUUUGAAUGCUACAUUUCCAACUUCAAGAAGGGGGCAGUUGGACAGGGUGAGAGGCAGCUCUGGUGAAUGAUGCUUCCUGAAGUCCACGAUCAUCUCUACCGUCUCGAGCGUGUCCAGCUCCAGGUUGUGUCGGCCACACCAAAGCUCCAGCCGCUCCGCUUCCUGUCGACACGCAAGCUCGUCACCAUCAUUGAUGACUGACGUGUCGUCUGCAAACUUCAAGUGGGGGAAAGAGGAUUUUAGAUCCAAGAUUGUUGAGUUACAAGCAUGGUCACGAAAAGAAUUAAACUAGUAUCUCAAGGCACUACUAUAUUAUAUGAAAAACCAUCAAAGGAUCAUAUUAGUUGUCAAUAAGGUCUUUACAGUUGAGCAUGACACAAAGAAUCCCCUUUGAUAUUUUUAUGUAUUUUUUUCCCCUCCCAGCACAAGGUAGCUAUGGUCCAUCGGUCAGAAUGGAAGGUGCAUGGGGACUUUUCAACUACUAGUAGUCUUCUUCAAAGAGUAAGAGAUUAUUGUGGGAUGCAAGGACCCUAUUGAUUUUUAAUCUAAAACAAUACAGUCAGCAUGUACUCUAUUGGUUAUAAAUGCUUUGACUGGCAUCACUAAUAACGUGUCAUGUGUUUCAACAAACGCUGCUUGCAAGGUGGUGGUAACUGUCAAUAUUAUAACUUGAACUGCUUUUCAGUUUUGUGUGUGUGUGUGCGUGUGUGUGGCUGAGAAAUUUUUUUAUUGAUUGAUUGACGUCAAAGGUAAUUUUAAACCCAAGUUUGGCUGUUUAAAGCCUUUUUUAACAAAAAAGAGAGGGGAAAAAAAGACAUUCGGAAACUCAAUUCCAAAGAAGCAGCCACAUGCUUCUAGAAAUGUUCUUCAUAGAUAUUUUUUUUCUUUUCAGCUCUAGCUCACCAACAGCCUGUGUCUGCUAUUGAUUUCCUGCCAAUGUCCAUAAAAUUACAUUUGGAAAAAUACACUACUCUCUCACGGUCAAUAAAAUGCAGGCGAUUCCCUGAU